GGUUCGAUGGUGUAGUUGGCCAUCACUUCUGUCUAACAAGCGUCGCAUUGCGAUGCUUGAGACCACAGACGGUCUCCGGUUCGAACCCGGAUCGAACCA